CUACAUAACCACAACACGAAACCCUCUCUGGCUCUCUCUCUCUAGAACUUACCAUCUCAUUCCGCAUCUGUUUGUUGCAGAAACAUACAUACGAGUGCCUUCGGUUCUUUCUCUAUCUCGCACACACAAUCUGCGUUUCAUUUAUUUAUUUGAUAGCCAUGGAUUUGCCCUUCUAUGGCGCCAGAAAUUUCAUCUUCACAUCGCAUCUCCUUCUCCUAGUCGGAUUGUGUCUUGCAUUGCCGGAAAAUUCUACUCUCAGGUCGUCUUCUCCAGCAGGUUCGGGCCAAAUCAACUCGAACUCGGUCCUGGUCGCUCUACUCGACUCGCAUUAUACGGAGCUUGCAGAGUUAGUGGAGAAGGCUCUCCUCCUGCAUACACUUGAAGAAGCAGUCGGUAAGCACAACAUCACCAUUUUCGCUCCUCGUAAUGAAGCUCUUGAGCGCGAUCUUGAUCCGGAGUUCAAGCGGUUCUUGCUUGAACCUGGAAAUCUCAAGUCUCUGCAAAACCUGCUCAUGUCUCACAUUAUUCCAACACGAAUUGGAUCGGAGAAAUGGCCGGCUCACACCGAGCCAACUCAGCACAGCACUCUUUCCGGGCACUGUCUUAACUUGACGCGACGAAGCUCUGGCGAGAGGACCGUGGAUCUAGCGAAAGUAAUCCAUCUGGAUUCGGUGACCCGACCGGACGGGGUAAUCCACGGGAUCGAGAGGCUAUUAGUCCCCCAGUCAGUCCAGGACGAUUUCAACCGCCGACGGAAUCUCCGCUCCAUCACGGCAGUCAAGCCAGAGGGAGCCCCAGAGGUUGACCCGCGCACCAACCGGCUCAAAAAACUCGCCCCUCCAACCGAGCCCGGUUCACCCCCUGCUUUACCAAUUUUUUAUGCCUUGGCACCGGGUCCCUCUCUUGCUCCUGCUCCGGCUCCAGGACCCGGCGGGCCUCACCACCAUUUCAACGGAAUGGCACAGGUUAAAGACUUCAUCGCCACAUUGUUACAGUACGGCGGGUACAACGAAUUCGCGGACAUAAUGGUUAACCUAACCUCGCUGGCAACCGAGAUGGGGCGGCUGGUUUCGGAGGGCUACGUGUUGACAGUGCUCGCACCGAACGACGAGGCAAUGGCGAAGAUAGGGACGGAGGAAUUGGGGGAGGUCGGAGCGGUGGAGCAAAUGAUGUACUAUCACUUGAUUCCGGAGUACCAAACAGAGGAGAGUAUGUACAAUGCAGUGAGGAGGUUUGGGAAAGUGAGGUAUGAGACCCUAAGAGUGCCUCAUAAGGUGGAAGCACUAGAGGCUGAUGGUUCGGUCAAGUUUGGGGCUGGGGACGUGGCGGCGUAUUUGUUUGACCCCGAUAUCUACACUGAUGGGAGGAUAUCGGUGCAGGGGAUUGAUGGGGUCUUGUUUCCAGCCGAGGAGCUGAAAGAAGAGGUUAAACCGGCGGUCAAAGUGGCUACGGCUGCUAAGGUUACGGCGAGAUCCCGAAGAGGAAAAUUGCUGGAAGUAGCUUGCCAGGUGCUUGGGGCUUUUGGACAGGAUUCUCGAUUCACCACUUGCCAUUGAAUUUUGUCGCCCACUACAAUUGGCUGUUAGCUUCACAAGAAUAGUUCAAGAUGCAACAAAGAAUGAUGCAAUAGCAGGUAUACUGAAUUGUGAGCCCAACACUCUCUUACAUUAAGAGUGGGUUUACCAUUGAUGUCCAUAAUCAUGUCUAUUUUUUAAUUUCACUUGGCCUUUUUGCUUUUAUUGUUUUUUUCUUUCCAAUUUUUUGUCUUUUCUUUCGUGGUUUUGGGGAUGAACCCCGCUGUAGUUAUGACGUAUACUGUAAAGUGUACAAGUGUGUUUUGCCUGUACUUAUUGAAUAAUAGCCUGGUUGAUGGUGGGGCUGAGGGGCACUGAGCCAUGUGUAAUCUGCGGUAGAAGGUGCUGGAUAUGUUCGACUUGCACAUUGUCUUCUGCCUUGGAAUAAAAGCAUCAACGGUAGAAUGUGGAAACACAAUAAAAUAUUUUUUUUUGAUGUGAGUGGAUAUGAAGUAAAGAAUCAUGUUGGUUGCUCCA